CUGGCUCGAUACUGACACUGAGGUGCGAAAGCGUGGGGAGCAAACGGGAUUAGAUACCCCGGUAGUCCACGCCGUAAACGAUGUCUACUAGCCGUUGGAGGACUUGAUCCUUUAGUGGCGCAGCUAACGCGAUAAGUAGACCGCCUGGGGAGUACGGUCGCAAGAUUAAAACUCAAAUGAAUUGACGGGGGCCCGCACAAGCGGUGGAGCAUGUGGUUUAAUUCGAAGCAACGCGAAGAACCUUACCUACUCUUGACAUCCAGUGAACUUUUGAGAGAUCAAUUGGUGCCUUCGGGAACACUGAGACAGGUGCUGCAUGGCUGUCGUCAGCUCGUGUUGUGAAAUGUUGGGUUAAGUCCCGUAACGAGCGCAACCCUUGUCCUUAGUUACCAUCAUUAAGUUGGGGACUCUAAGGAGACUGCCGGUGACAAACCGGAGGAAGGCGGGGACGACGUCAAGUCAUCAUGGCCCUUACGAGUAGGGCUACACACGUGCUACAAUGGCAUGUACAAAGGGUUGCCAAGCCGCGAGGUGGAGCUAAUCCCAUAAAGCAUGUCGUAGUCCGGAUUGGAGUCUGCAACUCGACUCCAUGAAGUCGGAAUCGCUAGUAAUCGUGAAUCAGAAUGUCACGGUGAAUACGUUCCCGGGCCUUGUACACACCGCCCGUCACACCAUGGGAGUGGGUUGCUCCAGAAGUAGAUAGCUUAACCUUCGGGAGGGCGUUUACCACGGAGUGAUUCAUGACUGGGGUGAAGUCGUAACAAGGUAACCGUA
rnacentral:rRNA from 1 species